rnacentral:rRNA from 1 species
AGAGUUUGAUCCUGGCUCAGGACGAACGCUGGCGGCGUGCCUAACACAUGCAAGUCGAACGGAGAAUUUCGAAGAGUUUACUCAGAGAAAUUUUUAGUGGCGGACGGGUGAGUAACGCGUGGGUAACCUACCCAUAAACCCGGGACAACCCUUGGAAACGAGGGCUAAUACCGGAUAAUCUUAGGACUUGGCAUCAAGACUUAAGGAAAGGUGGCCUCUGAAGAUGCUACCGAUUAUGGAUGGACCCGCGUCUGAUUAGCUAGUUGGUGGAGUAAAGGCCUACCAAGGCGACGAUCAGUAGCCGGCCUGAGAGGGUGAACGGCCACACUGGGACUGAGACACGGCCCAGACUCCUACGGGAGGCAGCAGUGGGGAAUCUUCCGCAAUGGACGAAAGUCUGACGGAGCAACGCCGCGUGUAUGAUGAAGGUCUUCGGAUUGUAAAGUACUGUCUUUGGGGAAGAAUGAUGUGCUUGAAAAUAUUGAGUGCAUAUGACGGUACCCAAGGAGGAAGCCCCGGCUAACUACGUGCCAGCAGCCGCGGUAAUACGUAGGGGGCAAGCGUUGUCCGGAAUUACUGGGCGUAAAGGGCGCGUAGGCGGCCGAUCAAGUCAGAUGUGAAAGCCCACGGCUCAACCGUGGAAGUGCAUCUGAAACUGUUUGGCUUGAGUAUCGGAGGGGAAUGUGGAAUUCCUGGUGUAGAGGUGAAAUUCGUAGAGAUCAGGAGGAACACCGGUGGCGAAGGCGACAUUCUGGACGAAUACUGACGCUGAGGCGCGAAAGCGUGGGGAGCAAACAGGAUUAGAUACCCUGGUAGUCC